rnacentral:rRNA from 1 species
GACGAACGCUGGCGGCGUGCUUAACACAUGCAAGUCGAGCGGUAAGGCCCUUUCGGGGGUACACGAGCGGCGAACGGGUGAGUAACACGUGGGUGACCUGCCCUCAGCUCUGGGAUAAGCCUGGGAAACUGGGUCUAAUACUGGAUAUGACUCCACGGUGCAUGUCGUGGGGUGGAAAGCCUUGUGCGGCUGAGGAUGGGCCCGCGGCCUAUCAGCUUGUUGGUGGGGNGAUGGCCUGCCAAGGCGACGACGGGUAGCCGGCCUGAGAGGGCGACCGGCCACACUGGGACUGAGACACGGCCCAGACUCCUACGGGAGGCAGCAGUGGGGAAUCUUGCGCAAUGGGCGAAAGCCUGACGCAGCGACGCCGCGUGAGGGAUGACGGCCUGGUG